UCCUGUCAAAGACAAGCCAGUCAACAAAUAUCAAGACGAAAUUCUGGAUGCCAACUAUCUGAAGGACUGGUGGAAGAAAGUCAAAUCCUGGAAUACUUUCUCACAAAACCUCAAACACAAAGAGAUGGAAGAAACAAAAAUCAUCCAAGCUAAAGCUCGACGGAUCUACAAUGCCAUCCAGCUGUACAACAUCCUGAUGACUGAGCACGGCGGCACCCUGAAGGACUAUAUCACGCAGCUGUCCUGCAUCGCUGACAAC